GGGGUCCCGCCCUGCGUCCCUGGCCAUAUCCCGGCCAGGGUCCUGGACCCAGAGCCUGGCUCCCUUGGGUUCUGGGUGGGAAUGCGCGGGGAUACAGACGCCCCCCCCCCCGGGUUGGGGCAGGUGCUGGUGGGCAGGGGCGGAGGGUCGGGAGGUGAUGGUGGCCAGCUGUCCGCAGGGACUGCGGAGGUGGCAGGUGGGCGCUCUUCACCUCUGCGGGGAGGGAGAUGGUUGGGGAGGAGCCAGGAAAAGUGCUGUGUGCAGAUUUGUCACAUGUCUGCUCUGGGCUCAGGUCCUUGUAGAAGCCUCUUAAAUGUGGAAAAUUCUGUGUGUGUGUGAAUCCGAGAGGAGAGAAGCGGAAUAUAACAGCCGCGUAUAUGGGCUCACCGGUGUCGUGUGCCUUGCAGCCGCUGGGUCGUCGGAUCCUCAGAGAACCUUACAGUCCUGCCAGGGCCGAGAGGCCCGGUCCGGUCGCCACAGGCUGCAGGUGGCAGCGUGGGUUGAGAUGUGCUGCAGUGUAAAACACGCCAGCCUUCAUGGGCUCCGUGAGUUAAGAUAGUAUAGAACACCCCGUUGCUAAUUUUAAAAUAUUGAUUACAAAUCAAAAUGAUAAUGUUCUGGAUGGACCUUGUGAAAUAAAAAAUUUUUUGCAAAUAAUUUCAUUUAAGUUUAAAAAAAAAACUAGAAAAUUUUAAAACUACAGACGUGGCUCAUACGGAUAGUGGACGUUGUAUUUCUGUUGACCAGCGUAGUGGUAGAGAAGGCAGGAUUACUAACCCCUUUUCAAAGGGCAGAGAGCAGGCAGAAAGGCCCGACCAGCCCAGAGCCCAUAAGGAAGCGAACGAAGACAAAGCCUUGCGGAGUUCAAAGGUUUGGGCGGGAUGAGGUCAGGACCAACUUCAAGAGGAUGGGGAGCCCCGGGCGAGUAAGCAGGGCCUUGCCUUCUCUCUGGAGCCAGCUUCUCCAGAUAUAAAAUGAUGCUAAUUAUAUGUGCCCUGGGAGCCGGCUUUGCGAGCAGGAAAUGAGAAGCUGCCUAUGAAAGCACGCUGAGUUUAUGGAGCAGAAAUGCCUCCAUAAAGCCCAGGACGCUGUCGUUAUAACCAUGGGUCCCCUUGCCGUACUAACGCUUGGUCUGCAUAGGAGACAGAAGCCCACACCAGUCCUGCUCGCCUCGUCCCUUGAGUGGCCUUCAUCGCCCUUCUGUAAGAAGCCGUGCCUCCAGGGUCCUUCCAGCAUACAGGCAGGCGCCUGGUGCCACCCUGAGCUUGGGGGUGGGUGUCCCAGACUCUCCUCCGUCCCCUCCCCUCCCCGAGCUGCUGGCCCCUGCUGGACAGCUGUCCCAUAGAUGCUGUUCCUGGGGUCCAGGGUGUGGUCUCCACCUCCUCCCCCCACCUGGGCUCUUCACAAGCAGCCCAAGCCUUCCAUACCCGGAAGUGGCCCUGCUCUGGCGACCUCACCCAUCAUCGUUCCAGAGGUUUCCUGGGAACAGUUGCCUGUUGGCUGUUGCUGUUUGAGGGUGGAUAUUUAAAGCCAGUCAUAGCAGAGAAUGAGACCUGGAAGGGAUGACACGGGGACCUGAGUCCCUAACAGGGCCCAGAGAUUUGCAAACAUUCGUUUCCUCUGCAGACAGAACAAGGGAAAUCCAAGAGCUAUACUGGUGAUAGAAGUCCCACUUUCAUGGGUCAGACUCACAUCCUCUUUGUUGGUGCCCUAAAUACCCCAGUGUGAUGGGUUAACUACUGGUCCAUUUGGAGCGCCCAGCUGAACUGGGUCAGCGUGGUUCUGGGCGUGGAAGACUCACCUGAGGAUUGUUACCAAUGGCAUUAAAGGAGAACUGGAGGGGAAGAUUGUUUGCUGCUGCUUUUCUUGGAGAAGCUUGCCCUGGCUGGUUUUCCUGAUGCGAACUUGGAGGAGGAGCUCGGGUCCUCACUGUCACAGGGACAGCUGCUGUUUUGUCAGGGGAGCACUGACUUGGGCAUCGCUUCCUGGCUCCAGUGUGGAUCUCUCAGCCUGGUGCACAGAGCCUUCAGCCCCCUGGCACAGAAUUUCUAGCUUCUACCACCGGCCUUUGGGCCUUCCCAGUGCAGAUCCUCAGUACGUACAAGCAUUAGACACUGCUGUGGGCUCCAGACCUCUGGCUGGACUCAGGGAGGACAUUGCUUGGGCUCUCAGCCUUCAGCUGGACUUUUGAGGGCCAUUGCCCUGGGACCCAGGCCCUCGGCUGGAUUCUUCAGGUCUCUAGCAUGUGGACAGAUCUCUUGCACUCCUCUGCAUUUGACUCUUUGGGUGAAUAUUAUAAAAUAAUUCUGUAAAUUAUGUGUCCUGUAUUACAUCUAUUCCCUUGCAAACCCAAACUACUACACCCAGAUUCUCUUCCCCAUGAAACCCAUCCGAUGAAGCCUGGCCUGCUCCUUCUUAAUAAAGCAUCUGUGAAAAUGA